rnacentral:rRNA from 1 species
GUGCCAGCAGCCGCGGUAAUACGUAGGUGGCAAGCGUUAUCCGGGAAUUAUUGGGCGUAAAGCGCGCGCAGGUGGUUUCUUAAGUCUGAUGUGAAAGCCCACGGCUCAACCGUGGAGGGUCAUUGGAAACUGGGAGACUUGAGUGCAGAAGAGGAAAGUGGAAUUCCAUGUGUAGCGGUGAAAUGCGUAGAGAUAUGGAGGAACACCAGUGGCGAAGGCGACUUUCUGGUCUGUAACUGACACUGAGGCGCGAAAGCGUGGGGAGCAAACAGGAUUAGAUACCCUGGUAGUCC